ACCUCCGGACUGGGGUUCGCAAGCUUCACGGCGAACGUACCUCGGGAAGUUGGUUAAACCUCACUAUUUAGAGGAAGGUGAAGUCGUAACAAGGUUUCCGUAGGUGAACCUGCAGAAGGAUC
rnacentral:rRNA from 1 species